rnacentral:rRNA from 1 species
GCUUAUGGCCAUACCACCCUGAGAACGCCCGAUCUCGUCUGAUCUCGGAAGCUAAGUAAGGUCGGGUCUGGUUAGUACUUGGAUGGGAGACCGCCUGGGAAUACCAGGUGCUGUAAGCU